ACAUCCAGAGAACUUAGCAGAGAUGCUUUGGUGCCUUCGGGAACUCUGAGACAGGUGCUGCAUGGCUGUCGUCAGCUCGUGUUGUGAAAUGUUGGGUUAAGUCCCGNAACGAGCGCAACCCCUAUCCUUUGUUGCCAGCGAUUCGGUCGGGAACUCAAAGGAGACUGCCGGUGAUAAACCGGAGGAAGGUGGGGAUGACGUCAAGUCAUCAUGGCCCUUACGAGUAGGGCUACACACGUGUUACAAUGGCGCAUACAAAGAGAAGCGACCUCGCGAGAGCAAGCGGACCUCAUAAAGUGCGUCGUAGUCCGGAUUGGAGUCUGCAACUCGACUCCAUGAAGUCGGAAUCGCUAGUAAUCGUAGAUCAGAAUGCUACGGUGAAUACGUUCCCGGGCCUUGUACACACCGCCCGUCACACCAUGGGAGUGGGUUGCAAAAGAAGUAGAUAGCUUAACCUUCGGGAGGGCGUUUACCACUUUGUGAUUCAUGACUGGGGUGAAGUCGUAACAAGGUAAGCGUAGCGAG
rnacentral:rRNA from 1 species